UACGUAGGGUCCGAGCGUUGUCCGGAAUUACUGGGCGUAAAGAGCUCGUAGGUGGUUUGUCGCGUUGUUCGUGAAAACUCACAGCUUAACUGUGGGCGUGCGGGCGAUACGGGCAGACUUGAGUACUGCAGGGGAGACUGGAAUUCCUGGUGUAGCGGUGGAAUGCGCAGAUAUCAGGAGGAACACCAGUGGCGAAGGCGACUACCUGGCCUGUUCUUGACGCUGAGGCGCGAAAGCUAGGGGAGCAAACGGG
rnacentral:rRNA from 1 species